AGAAAGCGAAACAGCUGUCUGAGGAGACUCAGUGCAGUGCAGCCAGAGCCGGAACCACACACCCUGAUAUCCACGCGCAAUCUUAGUACGCCAGAGAAGCAGCACAGCCAGGCCACAGCCAACACUGCCAAGUGAUGCAGAUGGUGGGAAUGCAGGCGCCCAUCACAGGGCUCGGUGAGUGUGCCUAGGAGGCCAACCAAGAGAUGUCGUCUUGAGGCUGAGUCUGCUGCUGCUCCAUCAUCACCACCCCAACGGCGCAUCUCCGCAGUGUGGUCCCUGCCACCACAAGCAAUUUUGGCGAGUCCACAAAGCGAGGAUCCACAAUCACCUCA